CGGGGAGAGGAACUGGGGCAGAGAGAAGCUGGAGCUGCUGGAGAGGUUCAGCCAGGAGAGAGCUCAGUGGGAGCAGAGACUGAGAGAGGCUACCGCCCAGCAGGGGAAGUCCAAAGGAGACAAGCUGCCCGAUGCAGAGCCCUCAGCAGACACUGUUGCUAAUGGCACUGGAUUACCAAGGACCAAGUCCAUGUCAGAACUGGAGGAUCCACAGGUCAACGGAGCAGCCAACCAGGAAGAGAAGCACAUGUUUGCCGUCCCGCCCCCUCUCCUGAUUCGCUCAGAGCUGGGUGACCUCACCAGGAAGAACUGGGCCUACCUGAC
rnacentral:lncRNA from 1 species